ensembl:lncRNA
AUGAUGUUUUGGUGCUUAAUUUGUAAAACCAUAACCUAAUUUGAUGUUUAAUAGGCUUUUCCUUAAUCCCUCCUCAUUAUCCAACAUAUUUGCUUAUCCGACGUUCUGGUUUAUCCAAUGCUUUUUUGUAGUCAAUGUUUUCAAUACAUCGUGAUAUUUUGGUGCCAAGUUCGUAAAUACAGUAAUUUCUACAUAGCAUUACUGUGUAUUGAACUACUUUUUCUGUCAAAUUUGUGGUAUAACAUGAUGUUUGGUGCUUAAUUUGUAAAAGCAUAACCUAAUUUGAUGUUUAAUAGGCUUUUCCUUAAUCCCUCCUUAUUAUCCAACAUAUUCGCUUAUCCAAUGUUCUGCUGGCCCGUUUAUGUUGGAUAAGUGAGACUCUACUGUAAUGCAAAAAGACACCACUUGAACUUCCAUGGCUCGAUUCAAUAGAAUCCUGGGAAAGAGAAUGCCCAUAAAUCCUGUACUGCAAGAGUUUGCCUCUAAUAUUUUAGUUUACUCGGGAAUUGAAGUUUAGUCUCUUUUGUAGUAAGUCUAUACUUUUUUGUGCAUUCUCCUGUUUCAAUUUUUAGGAGCGACUCUGGGACUUCUUUCAAAAUGCACCCAGAUUUUUUUUUUCUUUUUUCACCAGCUCCCACUUUUCUUAUGAUCUGUAUUUCAGGUGGUUAAACGAACAGUUUUAUGGGGUUUUUUUUUUUAACAUUCUGGGGAGAACUGGUCAGGCAACCUUUUCUGCUUUCCCUUUUCUUUCUGUUUUGCUGUUCAAGGAAUUCUGGACAGUUGCUGCUUAUCUUGCCUGUUGCUGGCAGGCAUGCUCGACUACAGCAUUUUCACAAAAUUGCUGCUAAAAAAGUCCUUCCAGAUAGACAGAGAAAACAGGCACAUUUUUCUGGUAAAUCAUGGGAGCAGCUACCUUGUGCGAGUGCAGUGCUUUCAACAUCUUGGAGCUGUGAUUGAUAAGUUACAGGAGACUUUUGUCCCUAGUAAAAACUAUUCAGAACACCAUCAUACAGUUUGUUCCAGCCCAUGCUGCAUGAAAGAGACAUCUUCCAGCACCUGUGUUUUCAUUGAUGCCUCCAGCGAAGCCCCGCAGAUGAACCAUUCCAAAUCUCGGCUGACCUUAACAAAGAAGGAGCUGACAUACUUCAGUCAUAGCACUCAGCAAGCAAUCAGACUGCAUCCCAGUGACAUUCAUCAUAGCUGCUGGCAACGGCCUUUAAUUCAUCUGUUAUUUAACCAGGGUGAAAUGCCCGUCAGCUAUAUCAUGUUUGUUGGUGUUAGAUGAACCCAGCUCAUCUCGUGCUCACUAAAGUUCAGGAUUUAACACCAAUCCGUGAUUUUUCAAGCACUUCCAUUUCUGCACAGAAACACUUGUCUUUCCCUCGUCCUUUUUUCUGUUUUGUUUGACUCGUUGAUCUAAAACAUACACACACACAUCCAUGCCCUACCAGCACCUCUGAUAUUAGAGUGAUGGCACGCUAAUGCUACAGCAUACCAGCAAAAUAAUUAGGGGCAGCAAUUAUAGGAAACCUCCCACCUUCUCCAGAUUAAAUGUUGUGAAAGACAUAAGGGUAUGUGUGUGUGUUUCUGGCAUAGAAGGGCAAUAAGUGAGUGUGAAUAUAUCUGAUUUUCUAUGAAAUAAGAACACUAAUGACUGUGUGUGUUUAGAAUUCCCAAGUAAUGAGGAUUCCUGAUGAAAUAAAAAAACAACCCUCUUAGCAGAGAAAUGAGAAAGUCAAAGCAUGCUUAUGUUUUAUUGAACUCGGUGGAAAAUGCUUGGUAUCCUCCAACUGGAAGGAAUAAACAGUACAUAAACUACACAAUUGGUCCUCCACAUUUACAGGUUCAACUUGUAGGUUUACAAAUUUGAUUAUUUCAGAUUUGAUUAAUAUGUUCUUUCUAGUAAUCUAUAGUUCCCCCCGGGUAACAUUGUGGUCACUCUCUGCUGGAAAUUGGCCAUGGAAUUUUUCUGGAAAAACUAGAGCCAAAUGAGUCAGCAGUGAACGGACUAUGUGGCAUUCACAUGGCACACAAAGUCUGGCAAGCUUCUUAAUGGUGUUUUGCCCUAUAUUGCUAAAAAUUGGAAGAUGCCCAGAACUUCCUUGAAGCUUUGGAGCUCACUUUAGGCAUAUGUAAACACAGACAGCGGGUUCUGAUUCGAAACUGGGUGCCACUGUUUACAUGGCGAUUACAUCACCACUGAAUACAUAGCUUUGGUGGACUGGGAACAGGAGAUAGCAAUUAUCAUUGCUGUCAUAUUCUUGGCACAACAGUAAGCAUGGAGAACAACAUUUACUGGUAAUGGUCACUUAUUGCCAGUGUUGGCACUGACCAGAGCACCAGAGUGAUUGGAGAAUGGAGGGUGAAAAGGAUGGGGCCAAUUCCUCUUUUCACCUCUCCCAAGUCACUGAUACUGGUGGUAAAACAUUUAUAGCAUUUAUAGUAUUGUAAUAAAAAUUUCACAUGCCUCAAAUUAGAGGUAAAAGAUUCCCCUUGACAGUAAGUCUAGUCAUGUCCGACUCUGAGGGUUGGUGCUCAUCUCCAUUUCUAAGCCAAAGAGAUGUCGUUGUCCAUAGAUACAUCCAAGGUUAUGUGGCUGGCAUGACUGCAUGGAGUGCCAUUACCUUCCCGCCAGAGCGGUACCUAUUAAUCUACUCACAUUGGCAUGUUUUCUAACUGCUAGAUUGGCAGAAGCUGGGGCUAAUAGUGGGAGCUCACUCCACUCCCCAGAAUCAAACCACCGACCUUUCAGUCAGGAAGUUCAGCAGCUCAGCGGUGCAACCCGCUGUGCCACCGGAGGCUCCAGUACUGUAAUAAAUCAGAUAAAAAAUCUGUCUCAGCUCUUUCUCUGGAGCAAGUAAGUGGGUUCUCCUUGCUGGCAUUUAAUUAUGCAACCAAUACCUCCAGAUUUAGGCAUGGUGGCAGCAGCUUGUUUAAGAUAAUGGAUAAAAAAUUGGUUAUCUGAGAGAAGGGAGAAAAUGAUAUCUACCCAUGUCAAGGUAAAUAGAACUUUAAAUUAACCAUGCAGUGAAUCUGACAUAGGGUUUUAUCUGAACUUUAAACUUAUGUUUGGAAAGCAAAGGAACCGUGAAAACCAUGUGUCUGUGUCUCUGUAGGAUAUACAUUUUAAAAAUGGAUGAAAUGAAUAAAGGAGCUGUCCAAAGUUCUGAACCUAUGUGGAGCAACUUGGGAAGCAUCUUUAAAAUUCAAGACAAAGGUGUUGCUUUUUUCUUAUUCUUUCUUUACUUGAUUUCUGGAGCUUUCUUUACUUGAUUUCUGGAACCCCGGUGGCAAAGUGUGUCAAAGGGCUGAGCUGCUGAACUUGCAGACCGAAAGGUCCCAGGUUCAAAUCCCGGGAGCAGCUUGAGCGCCCGCUGUUAGCUCCAGCUCCUGCCAACCUAGCAGUUCGAAAACAUGCAAAUGUGAGUAGAUCAAUAGGUACCACUCUGGUGGGAAGGUAAUGGCGCUCCAUGCAGUCAUGCCAGCCACAUGACUUUGGAGGUGUCUACGGACAAUGCUGGCUCUUCGGCUUAGAAAUGGAGAUGAGCACCAGCAGCACAUAUACUAAAAUUGGAUGAGCACCAACCCUCAGAGUCAGACAUGACUGGACUUAACGUCAGGGAAAACCUUUACCUUAAUGUAUUGAAAAAUAUUACACAAUUUCUUUCUAAAAGAAUAAUAGCUCAGAGUACAAUCUAGUGUGGAUUUCCCACUCUAUUGACAUAGAAACUACCAUUUCUCUUGUCAUGUAAUUUCUUGCACAUGAGACAGAUAAUUCCCCCAUGUGCCUCUCCCAGGCAGUAAAAAUAUAAUACAGAUCAGCUAAAUAAUAAUUUAUUGCCAGUACAUCCCACCCCAAAUUUGCUGCCUUGUGCUGCUGAAUGAUAAAUUUGGCCAGGGCAAGGACUCAAAAAUCUCUCAUUUCUGCCUCCCAGAAAGAUUUUGAUUGAAAGACAGGAUGAAUGUUUCAGAUUUUCUUAGCAGGACUUUGUUUGGUUUGUUUUCAUUUGCUAAAACAAACAUUUGUGAAAUAUUGGAAAUAUCUUACAAUGGACAGCUGGGCCUGCAGCUGGUUUUCUUGACUUAUUUACACACAACACACCCACACAGGCACCCACAAAGGCACAGGCACACAGCUUCCCUGUUUCCUCUGCUUUCCAAACAAACAGAAUGUUCUCAAUGAAUGUGGACAAUAUUUGUUUAAUUUAUAAGCCCGUGGUUUUGAAACUCCCCCAUGUAUGCCAGUG